CGACGAAGAUGGGAUUCGAACCCACGCGGGCAGAGCCCAUUGGAUUAGCAGUCCAACGCCUUAACCACUCGGCCACCUCGUC
rnacentral:tRNA from 1 species